GCUGAGAUAAUGAUAGAAGAAAAUGACGAUCCCAGAGGAAUUUUUAUGUUUCAUGUUACUAGAGUGAGAUGAAUUUUCAUUUGUUUACAGUCAUACAGAGGCCUCUCCCUGCUGAUUUGGCCAGUGUUUUAUAAUAUGUUUUCUGCAAAACAUUUAGCUUUGCCUGUAUUUAUUUUUAAAUAAACAAAUAACCAAAUUUGUCUUAUAAACUAAUUCUUAGGUUUCUUUGGGCUAGACCAAAGGAUUCAACAAGUUUACUUUCAUUAAAUUAAACAUAAGAGUUCAGAAGACCUUUUAUGCAUGUUUAAUUUCUACUUUAAAGGGUGAAGUAUAGAAAGUUAAGUAGAAACAGUAACUUUAGAAAGGUGACUUACGAGAGUUACCAUUUUAUCUUCCCUUUCAACUUAUAUUCUUUACUUAAAGGGCGCUGGGGAAGUUAUUACUGCCUAUGAGGUGCCUCCACCCUCGAACGUUCUUCAAGUUCCUGUAGUCCGGCUGGCUGGAAGCUUUGGGGCAGUAAAUGUUUAUUGGAAAGCGUCACCAGACGGUGCUGGCUUGGAAGACUUUAAACCAUCUCAUGGGAUUCUUGAAUUUGCAGAUAAACAGGUUACUGCAAUGAUAGAAAUCACCGUAAUUGAUGAUACUGAAUUUGAAUUGACAGAGACGUUCAAUAUUUCCUUGAUCAGUGUUGCUGGAGGUGGCAGACUUGGUGAUGAUGUUGUGGUAACUGUUGUUAUUCCACAAAAUGAUUCUCCAUUUGGAGUAUUUGGAUUUGAAGAAAAGACUGUAAGUUAAAUAUAUCAGGGGAACGCCUUGUUUCAAGCUAGAGUUUCAUGGAAUUUUGAGUAGAAAGUGUCUUACAUUUUUGUUUUGAAAGUCUUGGCCAGGCAUGGUGGCUCAUGCCAGUAAUCCCAGCACUUUGGGAGGCCGUGGCGGGCAGAUCACGAGGUCAGGAGAGUGACACCAUCCUGGCCAACAUGGUUGAAACCCCGUCUCUACUAAAAAUACAAAAAUUAGCUGGGUGUGGUGGCACAUGCCUGUAAUCCCAUAUACUUGGGAGGCUGAGGCGGGAGACUCGCUUGAACCCAGGAGGCAGAGGUUGCAGUGAGCUGAGAUCACGCCAUUGCACUCCAGCCUGGCAACAUAGAGAGACUCCAUCUCAAAAAAAAAAAACAAAAAACAAAAAACA
rnacentral:sRNA from 1 species